GAGUUUGAUCCUGGCUCACGAUUAACGCUAGCGGCAGGCUUAACACAUGCAAGUCGAACGGUAACAUUGGUGCUUGCACCAGAUGACGAGUGGCGAACGGGUGCGUAACGCGUAUACAACCUACCUCUUAUUAAGGAAUAGCUCAGAGAAAUUUGAAUUAAUACCUUAUAAUAUCAUAAAGUCGCAUGGCUUAAUGAUUAAAGAACUUCGAUAAGAGAUGGGUAUGCGUGAUAUUAGCUAGUUGGUAAGGUAACGGCUUACCAAGGCAACGAUAUCUAGGGGGUCUGAGAGGAUGAUCCCCCACACUGGUACUGAGACACGGACCAGACUCCUACGGGAGGCAGCAGUGAGGAAUAUUGGACAAUGGACGAAAGUCUGAUCCAGCCAUGCCGCGUGAAGGAUGAAUGCCCUAUGGGUUGUAAACUUCUUUUAUAUAGGAAGAAACCUCUGGAUUUAUCCAGAGCUGACAUUACUAUACGAAUAAGCAUCGGCUAACUCCGUGCCAGCAGCCGCGGUAAUACGGAGGAUGCAAGCGUUAUCCGGAUUUAUUGGGUUUAAAGGGUCCGUAGGCGGAAUUUUAAGUCAGUGGUGAAAGCCUGCAGCUCAACUGUAGAACUGCCAUUGAUACUGAAAUUCUUGAAUAUAUAUGAAGUGGGCGGAAUGCGCCAUGUAGCGGUGAAAUGCACAGAUAUGACGCAGAACACCAAUUGCGAAGGCAGCUCACUAAUGUAUUAUUGACGCUGAGGGACGAAAGCAUGGGGAGCGAACAGGAUUAGAUACCCUGGUAGUCCAUGCCGUAAACGAUGAUUACUCGGUAUUAGUCUGACUAGUGCCUAAGCGAAAGUGAUAAGUAAUCCACCUGGGGAGUACGCUCGCAAGAGUGAAACUCAAAGGAAUUGACGGGGACCCGCACAAGUAGUGGAGCAUGUGGUUUAAUUCGAAGAUACGCGCAGAACCUUACCAACACUUGACAUGUUCGUCGCGACUCUAAGAGAUUAGAGUUUUCGGUUCGGCCGGACGAAACACAGGUGCUGCAUGGCUGUCGUCAGCUCGUGUCGUGAGAUGUUGGGUUAAGUCCCGCAACGAGCGCAACCCUCACUUUUAGUUGCCAUCAUUAAGUUGGGCACUCUGAAAGAACUGCCAGUGAUAAGCUGGAGGAAGGUGGGGAUGACGUCAAGUCCUCAUGGCCCUUACGUGUUGGGCUACACACGUGCUACAAUGGCAUCUACAACAGGAAGCAAAACGGCAACGUUAAGCAAAUCCCAAAAAGAUGCCUCAGUUCGGAUUGCACUCUGCAACUCGAGUGCAUGAAGCUGGAAUUACUAGUAAUCGUGGAUCAGCGUGCCACGGUGAAUGCGUUCCCGGGUCUUGUACACACCGCCCGUCACACCAUGGGAGUUGGUUCUACCUUAAGGCAAGGUUUUAAACCCUUGACCACGGUAUAGUCAGCGACUGGGGUGAAGUCGUAACGAGGUAACC
rnacentral:rRNA from 1 species